rnacentral:snoRNA from 1 species
CUAGCAGGUUGGAUAAUCCUUACCUGUCCCUCUGUUUGGAGGGCAGGUAGAAAUCAUGAUACGUGUUACUGUCUCAGCAUAAUCACGAUUUGCAACACCCUGAUUGCUCUUCUCCAAU